rnacentral:tRNA from 1 species
CGAGGCGCUGGCCUGCGCGGUCGGCGACCGGGAACCCUUUCGCGGUCCCGGCGAUCUACGGGUAUUGCGGCGCUACCAGCGCGCCCGCCUGGCC